AACGCACAUUGCGCCCGCCAGUAUUCUGGCGGGCAUGCCUGUUCGAGCGUCAUUUCAACCAUCAAGCCCCCGGCUUGUGUUGGGGACCUGCGGCUGCCGCAGGCCCUGAAAACCAGUGGCGGGCUCGCUAGUCACUCCGAGCGUAGUAAUACAUCUCGCUCAGGGCGUGCUGCGGGUUCCGGCCGUUAAAAAGCCUUAUUUACCCAAGGUUGACCUCGGAUCAGGUAGGAAGACCCGCUGAACUUAA
rnacentral:misc_RNA from 2 species